GAGGACGGGCGGGUCCGCGGGCCGGGCCGGGCCGCACGGAAGCCGAGAGUCGGACGGAGGCGGCCCAAGCGGGAGCGGCGCAGCCUCGGGGCCGCUGCGGGAGGCGGCUCGGCCCCGGCCAGGGCGGCCGCUCCCCCGGAUCCGGGCCGGCGGCGGAGCCGCUUCCCCCGCGCCGCCCUCCGCGGCUGCGCUGCGCGGACGUGGGGCUCCGGGUGCCGCGGAGCAGCUGCCGGCGAGAGAGCAAGCGGAGCCCGGCCUGAAGAAAGAUUUGCAGCUGCGAUGCUGAGUAUCGCUGCCUGUGUGGAAGGGGGUGAAGAGGAGCAGCCGUGUUGUGUCUGAGCAGCUCUGCCUCUCCAGGCGCUGACUUCUACGGCCUUUUCCUCAGGGUUGUGUCUGGCUGCCUCUCACAGCCCAGGCAAGGAGAUUUUCCUCCUAGUGCCUCCAAGGAUUAUCCCCUUGGACACUGAGAUUAAUGUCUUCCAUCCAUGAACAAAACUCUUUCUGCAGCAAGAAAUAUUGAAUAUGGGAUGGAGAUGCUGGGUCCUGAAUGUGUAGCUGAUCACACUGUGGCCUGGACACAGAGUUGGAACCACAAUCCAGAGUCCCUGGGUUUUGCCUGCAAAGGGCUGUGCUGCUUAUCCGUGGAGCCCUUCUUCUCCUUGUUUUCAUUUAGGUUCAAGAACAAGACCCAAGUCCUUUCUUUGAAAGACCUAUUCCUUUGAAGCAUUGUACUAUUGAGACUACCCAUCAAAACAAGACAAGAAAAAGGAGCAAAAAGCAAAGUGAUUUCAAAGGAAGAAAUAAAAACGUCAUUACUGAUUAUCUGGAAAUCCAAGCAACUCCUGUUUUAUUAGUUAAUAAGGUAGUUUGAUAAAAUUGGUACAUGUAAGAUCAAACUGCAAGAUUAACUUUCAACACCAAGUAUAGUCAAGCAUGGGCAGAAACUAAAAUCCUCCUAUUUUGCGUAGGAAGAGUAAAAUUUUAUAGCCAUUCUGGCAAAUUGUUUGCCAGUAUUUAUAAAGCUGAAUGCAUGUUUAUCCUAUUACCCAGCUCUUUUUCUAUGUACAAAACCAAUGGAAAUAUGUGUUUAUAUCCCCUAAAAGAUGUACAAGAAUGUUCUUAGCUUCACUCAUAAAAUAAAACAAUGAAAACAGAAUUAGCACAUUGUAAUAUCAUAUUUAAAACAUUACAUAGCAAUGAAUAAGCCACAGUUGUCUACUUAACAUUGAGCAAAGAAGGCAGAGAUUAAAGAAUUUACAUUGCAUCCAUUCCAUUUUUAUACAGUACAAAAAAAGAAAAUAACAACCUCAAUCAGUAGCAGUUUCUUGGUGAGAAAGUAUUAACUCAGCAAGUGCAGGAUGGGGCCCUCUGAAGAGGGCCAUGUGUUAUAUCGCACUCUGAGUGGUGGUCUCAUAGAUACCCAUAAACAAAAAUUAGCAUCAAUUAUUUUUAAAAAUUUCGAUAGUUCAAAUUCUCCAAAACUAUGUUUUAAUUUAUCUUCAUCAGCUUUAUUAAACUUACAAAGUUUAUUAAACUUUAUUAAACUUACAAGUAAUGAAUUGACAAAUAUUAAGUGUGCAGUUUCACAGAUUUUGAUAAAUACAUGCAUUUUCCUAAGCAUCAUCAUAGUAUGGAACAGUUUUACCACCCCAAGCUUUCACUAUGCCCUUUUCAGUCAGUCUUCUCGUUCCUCCUAGUCCUAAAUAAAUGGAAGCAUAAAGUAAA